CAGCAGCCGCGGUAAUACGUAGGGUGCGAGCGUUAAUCGGAAUUACUGGGCGUAAAGCGUGCGCAGGCGGUUCGUUAAGACAGAUGUGAAAUCCCCGGGCUUAACCUGGGAACUGCAUUUGUGACUGGCGAGCUAGAGUAUGGCAGAGGGGGGUAGAAUUCCACGUGUAGCAGUGAAAUGCGUAGAUAUGCGGAGGAACACCGAUGGCGAAGGCAGCCCCCUGGGCCAACACUGACGCUCAUGCACGAAAGCGUGGGGAGCAAACAGGAUUAGAUACCCGCGUAGUCCCUGUCUCUUAUAC
rnacentral:rRNA from 1 species